rnacentral:misc_RNA from 1 species
UACCCUUGACAUGCCAGGAAGCUUGCUGAGAGGCGAGUGUGCCCGAAAGGGAGCCUGGACACAGGUGCUGCAUGGCUGUCGUCAGCUCGUGUCGUGAGAUGUUGGGUUAAGUCCCGCAACGAGCGCAACCCUUGUCACUAGUUGCUACGAAAGGGCACUCUAGUGAGACUGCCGGUGACAAACCGGAGGAAGGUGGGGAUGACGUGCGUCAGUCAA